rnacentral:rRNA from 1 species
UACGUAGGGGGCAAGCGUUGUCCGGAAUCAUUGGGCGUAAAGAGCGUGUAGGCGGCCAGAUAAGUCCGCUGUGAAAUCUCGAGGCUCAACUUCGAGCUGUCGGUGGAAACUGUCUGGCUAGAGUCCGGAAGAGGAGAAUGGAAUUCCUGGUGUAGCGGUGAAAUGCGCAGAUAUCAGGAAGAACACCCGUGGCGAAGGCGGUUCUCUGGGACGGUACUGACGCUAAGGCGCGAAAGCGUGGGGAGCGAACAGG